rnacentral:rRNA from 1 species
GUUGACCUCGGAUCAGGUAGGAAUACCCGCUGAACUUAAGCAUAUCAAAAAGGCAAGAGGGAA